UACGUAGGGUGCAAGCGUUGUCCGGAAUUAUUGGGCGUAAAGAGCUCGUAGGCGGUUUGUCGCGUCUGCUGUGAAAACUCGGGGCUUAACUCCGGCCUGCAGUGGGUACGGGCAGACUAGAGUGCGGUAGGGGAGACUGGAAUUCCUGGUGUAGCGGUGAAAUGCGCAGAUAUCAGGAGGAACACCGGUGCGAAGGCGGGUCUCUGGGCCGUAACUGACGCUGAGGAGCGAAAGCGUGGGGAGCGAACAGG
rnacentral:rRNA from 1 species